rnacentral:rRNA from 1 species
CCUACGGGUGGCAGCAGUGAGGAAUAUUGGUCAAUGGGCGCGAGCCUGAACCAGCCAAGUAGCGUGAAGGAUGACUGCCCUACGGGUUGUAAACUUCUUUUAUAAAGGAAUAAAGUGAGGCACGUGUGCCUUUUUGUAUGUACUUUAUGAAUAAGGAUCGGCUAACUCCGUGCCAGCAGCCGCGGUAAUACGGAGGAUCCGAGCGUUAUCCGGAUUUAUUGGGUUUAAAGGGUGCGUAGAUGGGUUGUUAAGUCAGUUGUGAAAGUUUGCGGCUCAACCGUAAAAUUGCAGUUGAUACUGGCGGCCUUGAGUACAGUUGAGGUAGGCGGAAUGCGUGGUGUAGCGGUGAAAUGCUUAGAUAUCACGAAGAACUCCGAUUGCGAAGGCAGCUUGCUAAGCUACCACUGACGUUGAUGCACGAAAGUGUGGGGAUCAAACAGGAUUAGAUACCCCAGUAGUC